AUCAAUCACUUUGUCUCUGCACAAUGAACAUUAUCAAAUAUUAUUAAUGUUGUAAAAUAUAUUGUUCAUUGUUAGUUCAUAUUAGCUAAGGCAUUACCAAAUGUUAAGGAAUAAACUCUUAUAGUAAAGUGUUACUAAAUUUUCUUUUACCAUUUCCUUCACAAUGUCUACUUAUUUCUAUGGCUAACAGAUUUUGUAACAUUUGUCUUUUUUACAGUCUUACCAUUGCUUGUAAGCUGGAUUGGGUAAGAUGGAUCAUCUUUAAAGGCACCAGGAGUUAAGGCAGAUGUGGAGGCACAACGUGUGAUACCAGACACACACCAAGCACAUUAUGUUCGGACAUUCAAUCAUGACAUGAUCCAGGUGGAUGCUGUCCAUUGAGGAAAGAGUUUGUUCAGAGGUUUCUGGACAGAAUUAAUUCCAAAGAUGGGAAAAAGUGCACAUCCAGACAAGGAGCAAGCAAAAAGACAAGGAACUUGGUGCAGAGAAAAGCUGUGGCCAUUAACCCCCAUGUGAACAGCUUCAUGCAGUCCCUGAUUGAGUUCGAAUGGACGACUUCAAAGUAAAGGCCACUGUGGUCUGUCUGCCACAGUUUAAUGCAUUUAUUUUUAGUGUUAAAUGAAAUUUAAGUAGAAUAUUUAAAACUAUAGGCCAUUGUUCUUUUUACCACAGUGAAAUGUUACCUUUUAGUCGAUGAUGGACUUUAAACUGAAAACUUCAAACUAUGGACCAGUGUUCUAUUUGCCAGAGUUAAAUAUGUUACAGCAGGGGUCUCCAAACUUGUUUAUACUUGUUGAUUUUAUUUUAUGUUACUUGAUUAUAUGUUUAUUAUUGUUUAAAAUCUUGUUUUAAAUAUGUUUGUUUCAAUUAAAUGUUUUUUUAAAUAAAAUUUUGAUACAUACAUUGCUUGGAUUGCCUUUUAAUUCAUUAUGUUUUAAUUUAGCAUUUUUACCAUAUUAAUAACUAUAGAUUUAAACCUAAAUCUCUAGCUAUUUUAUAUAAUAUUAUUGU